rnacentral:rRNA from 1 species
CAGUAGCCACGGGAAUACAGAGGGUGCGAGCGUUAAUCGGAUUUACUGGGCGUAAAGCGUGCGUAGGCGGCUUUUUAAGUCGGAUGUGAAAUCCCUGAGCUUAACUUAGGAAUUGCAUUCGAUACUGGGAAGCUAGAGUAUGGGAGAGGAUGGUAGAAUUCCAGGUGUAGCGGUGAAAUGCGUAGAGAUCUGGAGGAAUACCGAUGGCGAAGGCAGCCAUCUGGCCUAAUACUGACGCUGAGGUACGAAAGCAUGGGGAGCAAACAGGAUUAGAUACCCCCGUAGUCCCUGUCUCUUUACC